rnacentral:rRNA from 1 species
CCCUUAGAUGUUCUGGGCCGCACGCGCGCUACACUGAAGGGAUCAAAACGUUUUCCCUCUCCGAGAGGAGCGGGUAACCUUUCGAACCCCCUUCGUGGUAGGGAUCGGGGCUUGCAAUUAUUCCCCGUGAACCAGGAAUUCCCAGUAAGCGUCAGUCAUAAGCUGGCGUUGAUUACGUCCCUGCCCUUUGUACACACCGCCCGUCGCUCCUACCGAUUGAGUGGUCCGGUGAGGCUUUGGGAUCUGAGCGGAAAGAGCGUUUCGCUGUUUCUGCCCGGAAAACUCAGUCGAACCUUAUCAUUUAGAGGAAGGAGAAGUCGUAACA